GACGAACGCUGGCGGCGUGCUUAACACAUGCAAGUCGAACGGAAAGGCCCUGCUUUUGUGGGGUGCUCGAGUGGCGAACGGGUGAGUAACACGUGAGUAACCUGCCCUUGACUUUGGGAUAACUUCAGGAAACUGGGGCUAAUACCGGAUAGGAGCUCCUGCUGCAUGGUGGGGGUUGGAAAAUUUCGGCGGUUGGGGAUGGACUCGCGGCUUAUCAGCUUGUUGGUGGGGUAGUGGCUUACCAAGGCUUUGACGGGUAGCCGGCCUGAGAGGGUGACCGGCCACAUUGGGACUGAGAUACGGCCCAGACUCCUACGGGAGGCAGCAGUGGGGAAUAUUGCACAAUGGGCGGAAGCCUGAUGCAGCAACGCCGCGUGCGGGAUGACGGCCUUCGGGGUGUAAACCGCUGUCGCCUGUGACGAAGCGUGAGUGACGGUAAUGGGUAAAGAAGCACCGGCUAACUACGUG
rnacentral:rRNA from 1 species